ACUCAAAGGAAUAGACGGGGGCCCGCACAAGCGGUGGAGCAUGUGGUUUAAUUCGACGCAACGCGAAGAACCUUACCUGGGCUCGAACGGCUUCGGACCGGCUGUGGAAACAUGGCCUUCCCGCAAGGGACCGGAGUCGAGGUGCUGCAUGGCUGUCGUCAGCUCGUGUCGUGAGAUGUUGGGUUAAGUCCCGCAACGAGCGCAACCCUUGUCCUGUGUUGGCAUGCCGCAAGGCGCAACUCUCAGGAGACCGCCAGCGAUAAGCUGGAGGAAGGUGGGGAUGACGUCAAGUCAUCAUGGCCUUUAUGUCCAGGGCCACACACGUGCUACAAUGGGCGGUACAAAGCGCUGCCAACCCGCAAGGGGGAGCUAAUCGCCAAAAACCGUCCUCAGUUCGGAUUGCAGGCUGCAACUCGCCUGCAUGAAGCUGGAAUCGCUAGUAAUGCUAUAUCAGAACGAUAGCGUGAAUACGUUCCCGGGCCUUGCACACACCGCCCGU
rnacentral:rRNA from 1 species